AGGAACUGGAGAGCUUGUGAGCAGAGCUGCAGCAGCUGAAAAUGGAGAAUCAGAGACUCUGACAACAGAACAAUGGAGGUUGUACUACGUGACCAAUUUUGUGAGGGGGUUCAGAACCACAUGUUGCGUAGAGAACUUAAAAGGUUCCUUCUUUGAGCGGAGCUGAGUUUUUGUUGGAACCUUCAGGACCAGAUGAUGGUUCCCUUCCUGAGGGGUUGUUGAUUUCCCCAUCUUUGGUUCAUUCAGAGAGAGGUCUUGUGUUUGCUCCAGUUACUAAUGUAGGUAGCAUUGAUAUCUGGAUAACACCACGCAGAGUUAUGGGAGCUGUACAAGUGGUAAAGCCCCUUACAAGUUAUGGACCCAAAAUAGAGCUCUCUGUUAACAAGUUAACAUCCGAAUGUGUUGCCCAUGUUUCAGCCCACACAGUCAAUUUCAAAUCCGAUGCUAACACUGAGUUGGAUUUUCCCAGUUUUGUAGGUGUGACCACGAGUGAGGAGGCC